rnacentral:tRNA from 1 species
CCUUGUGUGAUGCAAAUGGUUAAGCUCUUGGCUGCUAACCAAAAGGUUGGUGGUUCAAACCCACCCAGAGGCA